rnacentral:lncRNA from 1 species
UUCUCUGUUCAGCCUCUGCCAACUGGAGACAUCAGAUCUUUGAAGCUUCAGCCUUAAGCUGACUGGUUCCAAGACAAACAGUAGCUCUAAGGGCUCCAGGACAGCUACUGGGGAGAGCUGGAAUGCAUCUACUGCCUCAGUGUGGCCUUGGCCUGGGCACCUGCCCUUGCCUUCCUCAACCACUGCCUCGCAGUGGCUGUGAGACACACAGGAAGGACUGGGCACACCCAGCAGGGAAGCUGUUCCUCAGACAGCGGCCUGCUUACCAAACACCCAGAACCACAACAUCCACACCAGGAAUCCCAGGGAGAAGAACGUACAAGAAAUUUCUUAAGCCAUGGAAUGAAUCAAAAAUGGCUGUCAGCAGGGUCCUGUGUAUCAGAAAACUUCACUAAGACGAAGCUGCCUUUUUGCACACACAGCAAUGCAAGGCACCAGAUCCAUGGAGGAGAAUACUGAGCUGGUGUGGAGAGGAAGACUGCUGUUCUGAGAAAUGCCUUCAACACUCCACCCAUGUCAUUUUCUCAGGCUUCCAAGCUCUGUGCUUAACAUUGCACUAUACCAUCUCUUUGGGGUUGAAGCCUUUGAGCCAGGAGGCCACAAACACGAUGGCAAUUGCUGGUCCUGCUCCAUAGGGUCCAAGCAUCACUUGCUACCUUGGUACCCAGCCACCUACAACUGGAAGGAGGGAAGUAGGUUUGAAGAUGAGGCGUGCAAGGUGAGCCCAGAGCAGAGCCCUCAUCUGGGGCCAUGGAGAGCUGCACAUCAGCCCUCUGAAAUGAAGACAAGCUGGCUGGCUGUGAGAGCAGUUAUGGGCCAGUGAGAGUCUUAGCAACUUGACCUUGGGAGAAAAUAAGCUGCAAGUCCAGAACAACUGCUUUUUUUGCUGAAGAUGAAAGUUUAGCAACAAGAAAGCAUGAAGCCCAGGGCACGAUUGCAAAGAAGAGCUAGCCAGUUGAAUUCUGUAUCUGCUGAAUAAGUAUUUAUUGAAUGACUAUGUAAAUGCAGCAGAAAAAGAAUAGUAAUACAUGCGCAACAUUGGUAAGUGGCCCAGGGAAGUUCAUCUUUGCAGGUGGACACACAAAUAAGGCCUCUAUUGUUUUCUUUUAAAGGUCCUUCCUUUCUCAUGACUGUUUACCUUGCCAUAUCUGCAUUGUGGAAAAAGUUAAAAGGGCCAUGACCUACGUUCCCCCUUCUUACACAUCUGAGCCAUUUCCAAGUCAUCUUCAGUGCAUUGAGCAGAGAGACCAUUUACCUCCUGCAGGGGUCUUGCAUGCUGACCUAGAAGGGACCUAACAGAUGAUGGAAACUGAUUUACCUGUAUACAGAAACCAAAAUCUAGGAAUAAAGAAAUUUUCCCAAGGUCCCUCAGCAUGGUUCUCCUCUUUGGCCAUUUUCUCCUGUUCAGUUUAGAGUUUACUGUUAGUGUCUUAGAGAAGGGGUAUACUGACCAUACAUAUAUUAAGAAGAAUAAACAAAGACACACAAGUGUCAGGUCUUGGACACUGCCUAUUCCUAAUAAAAUGAAA